UAAUCGCAGCAGCUCUCCGUCUCUAGCUUCUUCCGUAGCUUAGGGUUUGCAUCUCCAUCCUAUAAUCCUCUAAACUUUAUCAGAUUAUACCCAGAUUAGGUCUUUCUUCCGUUCUGGUCUUCAGUUCUCUGCGUUGGCAGUAUGUAGGUUAAUCACAGUGUGAGUCCAUCAAUGGUGGUAGUCCGAUGGUUGGUGGUGGGGCUUUGAGGAACUGUGCUUACAGCCGCAGUGGUUCUCUGGUGUACAGGUAGUUUAGGACAGUAUGUCAGUUUUUGUGUAUAAAUAUAAUCUGCAAACCCAACUCUAAUCCAUUAUUGAGCAGCUUCUCCCUAAAAUACUACAUCCGUCGAUAAUCUCUCUUCGUUUUCUUCAUUCUCAAAAUCUCCGCCAUCGGCAUCUCCGGAUUGCUCUCCGGCAUGAUCUCCCCUAUUGGCUCCUGCGGCUCAAAUGGGUCGUCUGGCAAUCAAUUCAUUCUUCCUACCAGGAAGUUGAUGAGAGAAGUACUCACACAUGCUGACAUGCAUAACAGAACAACAAUUUAGAGUCAGUUGUAAGCUGCCAUUUUUCAUCAGCUCACCUCCCUCCUGUAAAAGGUUCAUCUUUGGAGUUGUUCUCAAUUGUAGGCCUCAACACACACCUUAAUCUUUAACCAAAUGUCUUCUUCCUCUGAUUGGAUGCUUUCCCAAGUCUUCUUCCCUGCAGCCUCGUGGUUGCAAUGGAUGCUGUUCAUUUUCGCUGUUUCCUCCACAUAUAUAUAGGAUAGGAAAGUUCAUUUUAAAAUUAAUAUUAGUUUUGAAAAUUGCAACAGUCUAUCCCCAAUUAAAUUCAUUUUUGUAUUCACACAUGUAUUGAUGGCUUGUAAUAAUAGUUUAAGUAUAUGAAGAGCUUUCAAGCAACCUUUCAAGUUCCAAGACAUUUAAAUAUCAGUUUUAAAACAAAA